CCCCCAGACUCCUACGGGAGGCAGCAGUGAGGAAUAUUGGUCAAUGGGCGGGAGCCUGAACCAGCCAAGCCGCGUGAAGGAAGAAGGCGCCAAGCGUCGUAAACUUCUUUUGUCGGGGAACAAAGGGCGCCACGUGUGGCGUUGUGAGUGUACCCGAAGAAAAAGCAUCGGCUAACUCCGUGCCAGCAGCCGCGGUAAUACGUAGGUGGCAAGCGUUGUCCGGAUUUACUGGGUGUAAAGGGCGUGCAGCCGGGAAGACAAGUCAGAUGUGAAAUCCCGCGGCUCAACCGCGGAACUGCAUUUGAAACUGUUUUUCUUGAGUACCGGAGAGGUCAUCGGAAUUCCUUGUGUAGCGGUGAAAUGCGUAGAUAUAAGGAAGAACACCAGUGGCGAAGGCGGAUGACUGGACGGCAACUGACGGUGAGGCGCGAAAGCGUGGGGAGCAAACAGGAUUAGAUACCCGAGUA
rnacentral:rRNA from 1 species